GAUGAACGCUAGCGGCAGGCUUAAUACAUGCAAGUCAAGGGGGUAGCAAUACAACCGGCGCACGGGUGAGUAACGCGUACACAACAUACCAUAUACUGGGGUAUAGCUUUGGGAAACUGAAGGUAAUCCCCCAUAACAUUGCGAGAGGGCAUCUGAUUGCAAUUAAAGUUUCGGCGGUAUAUGAUUGGUGUGCGUUUGAUUAGCUAGUUGGUAGGGUAACGGCCUACCAAGGCGACGAUCAAUAGCUGGCGUGAGAGCGCGACCAGCCACACUGGAACUGAGACACGGUCCAGACUCCUACGGGAGGCAGCAGUAGGGAAUAUUGGACAAUGGAGGAAACUCUGAUCCAGCCAUGCCGCGUGAUAGAUGAAGGCCCUCUGGGUUGUAAAUAUCUUUUAUCUGGGAAGAAACACUCCUAUUCUUAGGAACUUGACGGUAACCAGAGGAAUAAGCACCGGCUAACUCCGUGCCAGCAGCCGCGGUAAU
rnacentral:rRNA from 1 species